rnacentral:lncRNA from 1 species
GGCAGAUCAAGAGCAUCUCAUCCUCCGGCUGCUGAGUCAUCCUGCUCUGGCAGUUAUUUAAACAGAAGGCUCCAGGAGACAUACAAUCAACACUCCACUCAGACAAUGCCCAGACCUCCAGAAACCAUGUGUCAAGCUCGGAUUGCCUUAGACAGAAGCUCACCCAGCUGGAACUCUUAUGGGACCUUGGCACCAGAGACCACAAAUUCCUCUUUGAAGUUUUCUAACAGCAACAAUGGUAUUUCUGACUUGGCUUUCUUGUAUUUCUCUCACGUUAACAAAAUUGGUUCAGCAUCUACCAUGGGCUACAUGCUGAGCUACAGAGUUUCGCUCUGUCGCCCAGGCUGGAGUGCAGUGGCGCGCGAUCUCGGUUCACUGCAAGCUCCACCUCCCGGGUUCACGCCAUUCUCCUGCCUCAGCCUCCUGAGUAGCUGGGACUACAGGCGCCCGCCACCACACCCAGGAACAAAACCCAUCAGAAGAUGUCAGAAGAUAAGGAUUUUUGUCCUGAUGCUACACUUACCAGCUGUCCCUCAGUGUUCUACUUCUUAAAAAAAGAGAGAUGGAUAAACAGAGGCAACCCGAGGAUAAAGGCCUUGCUCAGUGUCACACAUUUCAGUCACUAAAUAAGACACAAUGGAUGCCAGUAUUCUCAUCCCCUCACAAAUAAAGAGCCUUCAAGCUCUUGCAGUCAACAAGAACUUUUGGAAUGAUUUCACUGCCUGAAAAGGCAGAUACAUAGGUGACACCCACAAAUAGGAAGAAAAUCAACCUGAACCUGAGUGUGUGGGCUCACUGACUCUAAGCAGUAGAGACAGAAGAAAAAGUUUUAGCAAAGAAGGGUUCUGAAAGAAAAUAAAUAUAGCUCGUUAUCAAGUGCUGUUUUUACACAGUAAAACAUGGGCAAAAUUACUCUUCUUUAAGUAGUAAUUCUUAUCUCUUGAUUAAGUCACCUACUCAUUCAUUUAAUAAAUACAUACUGAUUGUUUUCUAUGUGUUGAGCACUCAUCUCUGUAUUGGAAAUAUAAUAAUGACCAAAGUUGACAAUAGUAAUAACAAUAAUAGCUAAUAUAGCAGGCACUAAUAAUUAUUUGUUGAGUAAUAUGUCAAAAUUCAGUGUGAACAGCAUUCUAUUUGGGGCUGCAUCCACUGACUAUAACACAGCUAAUCUAUCUGAAAUGUUCCAGCUUUGGGCCUCUCUAACAGAAGAAGCUGUUGUUGGGCCUGCCUCUAGUUGGCGAUGCAUCCACCAAUGAGAAUGAAUUUAUGAUCGACCACUCUUCCUGUAAAGGCCGCUGGAACUGACAGCAUUGUGAUUUUCUUUUACUGUUAGUUUUAAAUUACUAGAACCAACUCAAUUACUAGAACGAACUUUACUUCUUUGUUUCCUACUUAUCAAAACAGUAAAAACAACAAGUAAAAGAAAUGCCAUCUUAAUAUUGUUUUGAUGACAAAACAGUAUUCCUUUUAGUUGUGCUUCAAAUGGAAUAAGAUGCAAACAGGCUUGGUAUGGUGGCUCACCCCUGUAAUCCCAGCCCUUUGGGAGGCCAAGGUGGAAGGAUUGCUUGAGGCCAUGAGUUUGAGACCAGCCUGCGCAACAUAGCAAGACCGUGUCUCUACAAAAAAUAAAAAAUUAGCUGAGUGUAGUGGUGUGUGCUUGUGGUCCCAGCUACUUUUGAGGCUGAGGAGGGAGAAUCUCUUGAGCCCAGAAGGUCGAAGUUGCAGUGAGCCGUGAUCGUGCCAUUGCUCUCCAGCUUGGACAACAAAGCAAGACCCUAUGUCAAAAAAUAAAUAAAUAAAAGACAUAAACAUAUCUGAGAUUAACUUUCAGUGGUAAAUUUGUUCCAUAUAUGAUUUUUAAGGUUAAAUGCUUUGGAAGCUUUAAAAACCAUUUCAGCCCUUUUAAAUGCCAACUUACACUGAUGAUGCUCUCAGAUGUUAGGAAAUCUUUUGAGCAGAAAAUGGAAGUGGGGGUGUUGAGGCAGGGAGGAGAGUGAUGCAAUAUUCCUUAGUGUCAUCCUGUGAUUUCACAAUUUGUUUUUCAAUCUGUUUGGACUUUCAAAAGGGAAGACUCUCAUAUGUCAACAAGCCCAUGAACUGAAGCUUAAAACACUGGAAACAACAACUGUAGAGUUUCAAGUAUAUGUACAUUUAUGUAUUCAUGUUCCUUGAUGGGAAUGCUGGCUGGUGUGAAUGUUCAAUCUCCUGAGAAAUGUAAAUUUUUCUCUGACAGAUUUAUUAGCUUGCUGUAUCUGAGCACAUGAGCAAAAACAAUGCCUAAUAAGAAAACUUUCUCUCUCCUUCAAAGUCAAACUUGGGAGAAAUGAAGGGAAAUCGAGUUUUCUUUGCUUGACAGUGUUCAACAUUCUUGUAGUCAGUGUGCUCAUGAAGAUUGCAAACUUUUUUUUUUUUUUAGAGCAGCUAGGACUACAGGCGCGCACCACCACACCCAGCUAAUUUGUGUAUUUUUAGUAGAGAUGGGGUUUUAACUAUGUUGGCCAAGCUUGUCUCAAACUCCUGACCUCAAGUGAUCCAUUCGACAGCUCUUUCUUUUUUUUUUUUUUUUUUGAGACAAAGUCUCGCUCUGUCACCCAGGCUGGAGUGCAGUGGUAUGAUCUCAGCUCACUGCAACCUCCGCCUCCUGGGUUCAAGCAAUUCUCAUGCCUUAGCCUCCCGAAU